rnacentral:rRNA from 1 species
UACAGAGGUCCCAAGCGUUGUUCGGAUUCAUUGGGCGUAAAGGGUGCGUAGGCGGCGCGGUAAGUCGGAUGUGAAAUCUUGGAGCUUAACUCCGAAACUGCAUUCGAUACUGCCGUGCUUGAGGACUGGAGAGGAGACUGGAAUUUACGGUGUAGCGGUGAAAUGCGUAGAUAUCGUAAGGAAGACCAGUGGCGAAGGCGGGUCUCUGGACAGUUCCUGACGCUGAAGCACGAAGGCCAGGGGAGCAAACGGG